AAGGCUAUACUUUCAGGGAUCAUUUCUAUAGUGUGUUACUAGAGAAGUUUCUCUGAUCGUGUAGAGUACCAGAAACCACGAGGAGGAGGCGUAGCGUUCCUUCCUGAGCGUGAAGCCGGCUCUCGGUGUUGCCUUGCUGCAACUGCCGCUUGCCAUUGAUGAUCGUUCCUGCUUCCUCCCUGGAGGGAGCAGGAGGGAAGGAACGCAGUCUGAGUGGCU
ensembl:snoRNA